rnacentral:rRNA from 1 species
CACGGACCAAGGAGUCUAACAUGUACGCGAGUCAUUGGGACUYAGCGGAUACCUAAAGGCGCAAUGAAAGUGAAGAUCGGCCCUGGUUGUCGACCGAGGGAGGAUGGGCCGCGUCGCGAUGCGGCUCCGCACUCCCGGGGCGUCUCGUUCUCAUCGCGAGAAGAGGCGCACCCAGAGCGUACACGUUGGGACCCGAAAGAUGGUGAACUAUGCCUGGUCAGGACGAAGUCAGGGGAAACCCUGAUGGAGGUCCGUAGCGAUUCUGACGUGCAAAUCGAUCGUCGGAACUGGGUAUAGGGGCGAAAGACUAAUCGAACCAUCUAGUAGCUGGUUCCCUCCGAAGUUUCCCUCAGGAUAGCUGGCACUCGGCCGUUCCGCACGGAACGCGCGCGAGUCUCAUCUGGUAAAGCGAAUGAUUAGAGGCCUUGGGGCCGAAACGACCUCAACCUAUUCUCAAACUUUAAAUGGGUGAGAUCUCUGGCUUUCUUGAACUGUGAAGCCACGAGCAUCUCGGAUCAGAGUGCCAAGUGGGCCAUUUUUGGUAAGCAGA